ACUGCGGAACCGCGCUAGGAACUGCUUUGCUUGAGUUCAGGAAGGGGAGCUGGAAUUCCAGGUGUAGGGGGGAAAUCUGCACAUAUCUGAAAGAACACCGGGGGUGAAGGCAACCUCCUGGUCAUGACCUGACGUUGAGGCGCGAAACCGUGGGAACUGAACAGGAUUAAAUACCCUGGUACUCCACGCUGUACACAAUGUGCACUAGGGGUUGGACCACUAACGUUCAUCGUCAGAGUCAACGCUUUAAGUGCACCGCCUGCGGAUGAUGAUCGCAAGGGUGAAAUUCAAAGGAAUUGACGUGGACCCGCACUCGCGGAGGAGCAUGAGGUUGACUUCCAUGACACCGGAGGAACCUUACCAGGAUUUGACAUAUGCCGUAAUGUGCAGGACACUGAGCAGCCCUUCGGUUGCGGUAUACAGGUGCUGCAUGCACGUCGGCCGCUCGUGCCGUGAGGUGCUGGUUUAACUCCCGCUACGAGCGAAACCCCUACCGGCUGUUGCCAACAUUCUGUCUAGGGACUCAUGCGUUAACUGACGGAGACAAAGCGCAGGAAGGUGGGGACGACGU
rnacentral:rRNA from 1 species